GAUAUUGGAAGUCCUGAAGAUGCUGCACAUUAUAUUCAAACAGGAGAUUCAGCCAAAGACAGUACCAACCAAUCAAGGAAAAAGGUUUCUAUCAUUGAGAAUAUUCGUUGGAAGGAACUUGGACUUCUUUUUGCUGGCUGGAUCAUGAUACUUGGAUUAGAGAUUGGAAAA